AGGACGAACGCUGGCGGCGUGCCUAACACAUGCAAGUCGAACGGACUGAUCCCUUCGGGGAUGAAAGUUAGUGGCGGACGGGUGAGUAACGCGUGAGCAACCUGCCUUUCAGAGGGGAAUAACGUUUGGAAACAGACGCUAAUACCGCAUAACGCAUAGGUGUCGCAUGGCAUUUAUGCCAAAGGAGCAAUCCGCUGAAAGAUGGGCUCGCGUCCGAUUAGGAUAGUUGGUGGGGUAACGGCCUACCAAGUCGACGAUCGGUAGCCGGACUGAGAGGUUGAACGGCCACAUUGGGACUGAGACACGGCCCAGACUCCUACGGGAGGCAGCAGUGGGGGAUAUUGCACAAUGGGCGGAAGCCUGAUGCAGCAACGCCGCGUGAGGGAAGACGGUUUUCGGAUUGUAAACCUCUGUCUUUGGUGACGAAGAAAUGACGGUAGCCGAGGAGGAAGCCACGGCUAACUACGUGCCAGCAGCCGC
rnacentral:rRNA from 1 species